GGAAGAGGUUCGCAUACACUUUCGAAGAGCUCAAGUCAGGUUGAGUUGGUACUUGUAUCCACACAAGGUUCCAGUUCCCACUGUUAAGCCCACCAUGACCAAAUACAAGUUCCCAUCAUAGCUCAGUUCUGAGCUCUGGACUCCUUUAUCAAAGGAGCUUGGAGGAUUCCUCAUGUCUAACUCUUGUGCCAAUUGAAACAUGGGGACAUAAAAACACACCAUGGCCUGGGGAGUUGUGAACAGCUUGUGAAUUACAAAUCUGUGAGACAGUAGGA